rnacentral:rRNA from 1 species
CAGUCGCCGCGGUAAUACAGAGGGUGCGAGCGUUAAUCGGAUUUACUGGGCGUAAAGCGUGCGUAGGCGGCUUUUUAAGUCGGACGUGAAAUCCCUGAGCUUAACUUAGGAAUUGCAUUCGAUACUGGGAAGCUAGAGUAUGGGAGAGGAUGGUAGAAUUCCAGGUGUAGCGGUGAAAUGCGUAGAGAUCUGGAGGAAUACCGAUGGCGAAGGCAGCCAUCUGGCCUAAUACUGACGCUGAGGUACGAAAGCAUGGGGAGCAAACAGGAUUAGAUACCCCUGUAGUCCCUGUCUCUUAUAC